rnacentral:rRNA from 1 species
GACGAAAGUCUGACGGAGCAACGCCGCGUGAGUGAUGACGGCCUUCGGGUUGUAAAGCUCUGUUAAUCGGGACGAAAGGCCUUCUUGCGAAUAGUUAGAAGGAUUGACGGUACCGGAAUAGAAAGCCACGGCUAACUACGUGCCAGCAGCCGCGGUAACACGUAGGUGGCAAGCGUUGUCCGGAAUUAUUGGGCGUAAAGCGCGCGCAGGCGGAUAGGUCAGUCCGUCUUAAAAGUUCGGGGCUUAACCCCGUGAUGGGAUGGAAACUGCCAAUCUAGAGUAUCGGAGAGGAAAGUGGAAUUCCUAGUGUAGCGGUGAAAUGCGUAGAUAUUAGGAAGAACACCAGUGGCGAAGGCGACUUUCUGGACGAAAACUGACGCUGAGGCGCGAAAGCCAGGGGAGCGAACGGGAUUAGAUACCCCGGUAGUCCUGGCCGUAAACGAUGGGUACUAGGUGUAGGAGGUAUCGACCCCUUCUGUGCCGGAGUUAACGCAAUAAGUACCCCGCCUGGGGAGUACGACCGCAAGGUUGAAACUCAAAGGAAUUGACGGGGGCCCGCACAAGCGGUGGAGUAUGUGGUUUAAUUC